rnacentral:tRNA from 1 species
CCUCUCAUGGCGUAGGGGUAACGCGCCCUAACUAGAGAUUAGGGAUAGGAGAUAGGAGUCGUGAGUUCGAUUCUCACUGAGAAGA